rnacentral:rRNA from 1 species
AGCAGCAGCCGCGGGAAUACGUAGGUGGCAGGCGUUGUCCGGAAUUAUUGGGCGUAAAGGGCUCGCAGGCGGUUUCUUAAGUCUGAUGUGAAAGCCCCCGGCUCAACCGGGGAGGGUCAUUGGAAACUGGGAAACUUGAGUGCAGAAGAGGAGAGUAGAAUUCCACGUGUAGCGGUGAAAUGCGUAGAGAUGUGGAGGAACACCAGUGGCGAAGGCGACUCUCUGGUCUGUAACUGACGCUGAGGAGCGAAAGCGUGGGGAGCGAACAGGAUUAGAUACCCCCGUAGUCCCUGUCUCUUAUAC